AGUCGAACGGCAGCACGGACUUCGGUCUGCGGCGAGUGGCGAACGGGUGAGUAAUGUAUCGGAACGUGCCUAGUAGCGGGGAUAACUACGCGUGAAAGCGUAGCUAAUACCGCAUACGGCCCUUCGGGGGGAAAGCGGGGGACCUUCGGGCCUCGCACUAUUAGAGCGGCCGGAUAUCGGAUUAUUAGCUAGUUGGUGGGGUAACGGCUCACCAAGGCGACGAUCCGUAGCUGGUUUGAGAGGACGACCAGCCACACUGGGACUGGAGACACGGCCCACUCCUACGGAGGCAGCAGUGGGGAAUUUGGACAAUGGGGGAAACCCUGAUCCAGCCAUCCCGCGUGUGCGAUGAAGGUUUCGGGUUGUAAAGCACUUUUGGCAGGAAAGAAACGGCACGGGAUAAUACCCCGUGCAACUGACGGUACCUGCAACAAGCACCGCUAACUACGCCAGCAGCCGCGGUAACAUGAAAAAGCGUUAAUCGGAAUUACUGGGCGUAAAGCGUGCGGCGGUUCGGAAAGAAAGAUGAAAUCCCAGAGCUUAACUUUGAACUGCAUUUUUAACUACCGAGCUAGAGUGUGUCAGAGGGAGGUGGAAUUCCGCGUGUAGCAGUGAAAUGCGUAGAUGUGCGGAGGAACACCGAUGGCGAAGGCAGCCUCCUGGGAUAACACUGACGCCUGGUGCACGAAAGCGUGGGGAGCAAACAGGAUUAGAUACUCCUGGUAGUCCACGCCCAAACGAUGUCAACUAGCUGUUGGGGCCCGCCUUGUAGCGCAGCUAACGCAGGAAGUUGACCGCCUGGGAGUACGAGCCGCAAGAUUAAAACUCAAAGGAAUUGACGGGGACCCGCACAAGCGGAUGAUGUGGAUUAAUUCGAUGCAACGCGAAAAACUCAUCGCACUUUGAUAUGUCCGGAAUCCUGAAGAGAUUUGGGAGUGCUCGCAAGAGAACCGGAACACAGGUGCUGCACAUGGCUGUCGUCAGCUCGUGUCGUGAGAUGUUGGGUUAAGUCCCGCAACGAGCGCAACCCUUGUCAUUAGUUGCUACGAAAGGGCACUCUAAUGAGACUGCCGGUGACAAACCGAGGAAGGUGGGGAUGACGUCAAGUCCUCAUGGCCCUUAUGGGUAGGGCUUCACACGUCAUACAAUGGUCGGGACAGAGGGUCGCCAACCCCGCGAGGGGGAGCCAACUCGAAACCCGAUCGUAGUCCGAUCGCAGUCUGCAACUCGACUGCGUGAAGUCGGAACGCUAGUAAUCGCGGAUCAGCAUGUCGCGGUGAAUAUGCCCGGGUCUUGUACACACCGCCCGUCACACCAUGGGAGGUUUCACCAGAAGUAGUUAGCCUAACCGUAAGGAGUGGCGAUUACCACGGUAGGAUUCAUGACUGGGGUGAAGUCGUACCGCAGAGU
rnacentral:rRNA from 1 species